AUGAAACUCGAAAACUGUGCCUUUCUGUUCACCAGCAAUGCUAAGAAAUUGGCCAUUGCCGAUGGCGAUUACACGGUGUCUGAACAUAAAUUUUUCAAGUUGUCUAUAGAGGCCCCUGCUCUUGUUUCUCUUCGCCUAACCGACGACGCGUCUGAUCCCCUUGUUGAUACGACCGAACCACAUACCCUGCCGACACUUAUCAAUGCCUCGAUCCUACUGCCCUGGAUGAACUGGAUUGAACAGCUGAAUGUUCUUCUCAUGCUGUCUAAUGUGACAACCUUGCACUUGUUGGAUUUUGAUGUCACGUUGCCGUUCUUUAUGAGUCUUGAGCAUCCUCCCGUAUUCAAGUUUGAGAACCUGAGAAGCUUGUCCCUGGACCAGUGUCUUAUCAGCGACGACUUCCUCGGGCUGCGCCAAUACCUACACAACUCGCCUAACCUGCAGAAGCUCACUUUGCACCAUUGCAAGGUCUGCGAUUUCCUUCCUACAAAGGAGGUGAUGGAACACCACCAGUCAUAUUCCAAGGACCUGGUGCGUUUCAAUUGCAACAACCUUAGGCUCGGUGAAAUCAUAUACCAAGAUGGUGAUGAUAAUGUGCACCUACAAGUCAAGUGUUUGGUGGGCAUAUUGAGGAAUCUGCCAAACAACAAGAUCGAACUCACUCGCCUCCAGGAAAAUACACAGGAUCUAACUUAUUUAUUAGCAGAACCAUAUGUCAAUACAUUGUGGUGUUUUUUGUUUGCUGAUUUCUUCCCAGGUUUCAUGUGUAAGCAUAUAUAUGCACCAUGGACUUGUUUACUAAGUCAUUUAGGCCUUGGCAGCUAUGGGUUGUGGCAUCUUUGUUGUUUGCCUUUUAUCAUAAUUACCAUGCAUUUGGCAAUAAGUAUUAGGCAGUAUAAGAAAAAGGGAAGGGAACCCCAGGUUUCCAUGGAGUUUGAAUAUUCAGUUUCAGUUGGUGUUGUCCUCGUCUUUAGGUCAUGGGGGUUGAGCAAUGGGUAG
rnacentral:rRNA from 1 species